AGAUUGAACGCUGGCGGCAGGCCUAACACAUGCAAGUCGAGCGCGAAAGUUCCUUCGGGAAUGAGUAGAGCGGCGGACAGGUGAGUAACGCGUAGGAAUUUGCCCAGUAGUGGGGGACAACUCGGGGAAACUCGAGCUAAAUACCGCAUACGCCCCAAGGGGGAAAGCAGGGGAUCUUCGGACCUUGCGCAGAUAGAUGAGCCGACGUCGGAUUAGCUAGUUGGCGGGUAAAGCCCACAAGGCGACGAUCCGUAGCUGGUCUGAGAGGAUGAUCAGCCACACUGGAACUGAGACACGGUCCAGACUCCUACGGGAGGCAGCAGUGGGGAAUAUUGGACAAUGGGCGCAAGCCUGAUCCAGCCAUGCCGCGUGUGUGAAGAAGGCCUGGUGUAAGCACUUUGUAC
rnacentral:rRNA from 1 species